UACGUAGGGUGCGAGCGUUAAUCGGAAUUACUGGGCGUAAAGCGUGCGCAGGCGGUUCGUUGUGUCGGCGGUGAAAGCCCCGGGCUUAACCUGGGAAUGGCCGUUGAAACUGGCGAACUGGAGUGUGGCAGAGGGGGGUGGAAUUCCGCGUGUAGCAGUGAAAUGCGUAGAGAUGUGGAGGAACACCGAUGGCGAAGGCAGCCCCCUGGGUUAACACUGACGCUCAGGCACGAAAGCGUGGGGAGUAAACAGG
rnacentral:rRNA from 1 species